ensembl:lncRNA
GGAGGACUCCUGUGGUGACAGCCCAAGGUUAGCUUGAGCCGCUAACAUGCUUUAAGGACAGCUACUUUAAAGAGCCAGGACUGUGUACAAACAGAGGGACAGCUAGACGAGUAUGCGCAUACAUAGAGGGACAGCUGGAGGAGCAUGAGGAGCAAUUGGCUAAAUUUGACGAGAAUGAAUGGGACAAAAGUGUAUGGGAUAAGAAUCGCUGAAUCAACCUUACAUCUACUUGAAGGAAUCAGUCCCAUUAUAAGACAUGGACACUGAGAGAGGAGGUGAGGGACGUGGCCAGGCUUGACAGUGGUUUGGGGGAUCGUUGCCAGAAAAAGUAAAGGAUACAAAAUAAAGCAUUGAAAUACAUAAUCAUGAAGGGGGUUUACAUCCACAUAAAAAUUCCAGUUGUUAGUUAUAUUCCACAAACAGCAUCAGUUUACACACAAAAUGUCUUAACAUCAGAAACAGCCGUAUGAUGGGUAUUAUCUCAGUUGUAUGAGCAGAUGUUGUUUACUUGAAGUGUCUGAAAAACACCAUAAUUCACAGUCAGACCUUUCGAAAGACAAAUAAAUGAACAGUUGUUUUUCAAGUUUUUCAACACAGACCUAAAUGAUUCAGCACAGACUAAUUACGCAACAGGUUGACAGCUCUGUGUGGCCCCUAGAAUUGAAGUCAUGUAACACAAAUCGUCUGAGACUGCAGGUGAUAUCGGCCCCCUUUUUCCAAAACAACAAUGUCCGCACCAGAUGAAACAGAC